UGGGGGGCUGGGGAUUGGUGAAAGGGGGGGAACAGCGUUGCCAUGGAGACCAUUCAUUGGUGGUUAGACAAGAGUGUGAGCUCUUGCCAUGCUCCCCCCAUCUUCCCCAGACUGACACACUUUUUUUGUGUUUAGUCAUAUCACAUUACAUUAUAGUGCAGUGCUGAUGCAUUAUACAGAAAAGGAUACACACAAGAAACCAAUAACUUAAAUCAUUUCAGUUUUACGUCAGAUUAGAUGUAACCUUUUCAACAACCAGUGUAUGUAGUUUGAUUUGAGGUCUGUCCAGUUGAAAAGGAGUUAAAUACAGAAUGGACUUUGAUUGCCUCAUGGCUCUCUGUUAUUUACUUCAAUGAUAGUCUGCGCAAUUCUUUUUACUGGUAUUAUUCACUUCAAUGACUGCUGAAUGAUAGUCUGCGCAAUGCUUUUUACUGGUAUUUUAAAGCAUUCAAUGCUUUUUACUGGUAUUUUCAAUUGGUGUGACACAAAGGGCUGUUUGUUGGUACUUCUUCUUUUAUUACUCCUCAUCAAAACAUGGAAGAAAAGAAAUUCACUAAACGUUCCUCCUGGACCAUGGGUUAUCCCUCUCUUGCGAGAUGUCCUCAUUGGUAUUGACCAUCACGCUAUAAAUAAGCAUCAAGAGAGGUGGCAUGAAGUCUGUGUCAGGAUUCAAGAUAGUACAGGAAGUCUUGGUAACUCAAGGGGACCACUUCCUGGAUCACCCGUGCGAUAACGAUUGCCUUCAAAGGCAAUGGUGGUGCCUUUGAUCCUCAUGCCAAACUCAACAAUGCUGUGGCCAAUGUCAUUGGAUUUUUGGUGUUUGGAAAGCGCUUCAACAACAGUUCAACUGACUUUCAAAAACGUCUUAACCUCAUUGCAGAAUCUAUUUUACUUGUGCGUACACCCCUUGCUCAGGUAGGUUGUGUUUUCUGUUAUAUAUACAAAAUUAUUGUAUACCAGACAGUUUCAAAGACAUGCAUAUCGCAAGCUUCUAAGUCAGACCAGACUGACCGUGUCACAUUUGUGAUUUUUUUGGUCAGGUCUGUUAAUAUUUGUCAUGCAAACAUUCCUUGGUUGUUAAAGUGGCAUAUCACUAAACCUCCACCUCUCUGUGUUAGUUCAUUUCACAACAGAUGUGUUGUAGGGUUCACAAGAUCAAACUCCGUUGUAUUCCUAGAGCUAGUCUGAAGCUAUGGUAGAUAUGAUUGUUAUUAUCGAACCAAAAUUAGGACAUGGUGUAGAAAACUUUCACACUGCAUGAGUACUUUAAAGACACACUAUGCAGCCAUUUGCGAUUUGUUUUUAUGGGCAGCUAGUUUGGUAUCA
rnacentral:lncRNA from 1 species